AUUGAACGCUGCGGCAGGCUUAACACAUGCAAGUCGAGCGAGCGGCGGACGGGUGAGUAAUGCUUAGGAAUCUGCCUAUUAGUGGGGGACAACGUCUCGAACGGGAUGCUAAUACCGCUUACUAAUAGAUGAGCCUAAGUGGGAUUAGCUAGUUGGUGGGGUAAAGGCAUACCAAGGCGACGAUCUGUAGCGGGUCUGAGAGGAGGAGCAGCCACACUGGGACGGAGACACGGCCCAGACUCCUACGGGAGGCAGCAGUGGGGAAUAUUGCACAAUGGGCGCAAGCCUGAUGCAGCCAUGCCGCGUGUGUGAAGAAGGCCUUCGGGUUGUAAAGCACUUUCAGCGGGGAGGCGUUACCCGCAGAAGAAGCACCGGCUAACUCCGUGCCAGCAGCCGCGGUAAUAC
rnacentral:rRNA from 1 species